AGAGUACUGUGUCUGAGUUCAUCCUCCUAGGGCUCCCCAUUCGAGCAGAAGACCAAGCUGUGUAUUCUGUCCUGUUCCUGGCCAUGUACAUGACAACUGUGCUAGGGAACUUGCUCAUUAUCCUGCUCAUCAGGUUGGACUCUCACCUCCACACCCCCAUGUACUUCUUCCUCAGCCACUUGGCCUUCACAGACAUCUCUUUUUCAUCAGUCACAGCUCCAAAGAUGCUCAUGAAUAUGCUGACACACAGUCAGUCUAUCUCAUAUGCUGGAUGUGUUUCACAAAUAUAUUUUUUCUUAUUGUUUGGGUGUAUUGACAACUUCCUUCUGACUUCCAUGGCCUAUGAUAGGUAUGUGGCCAUCUGCCACCCUCUGCAUUACACCACCGUUAUGAGUCAGAGUCUCUGUGUUCUGCUAGUGAUGAUAUCCUGGGUCUUUUCCUCUACUAAUGGCCUUGUGCACACUCUUCUCUUCGCUCGCCUCUCUCAUUUUAAAGACAACACUGUCCAUCAUUUUUUCUGUGAUCUCUCUGCCUUGCUCAAACUUUCCAUCUCAGACACAACCAUCAAUGAACUAGUCAUCCUCACAUUAGCAGUGGUGGUCAUUACUGUACCAUUCAUAUGCAUCCUGAUUUCUUAUGGUCACAUAGGGGCCACUAUCCUAAGAACUCCAACCAUCCAGGGUAUCUGCAAAGCCUUGUCCACAUGUGGCUCUCAUCUCUGUGUAGUUUUUUUAUAUUAUGGAGCCAUUAUUGGGUUAUAUUUCUUUCCCUCUUCCAACAAUACGAAUGCUAAAGAUGUAAUAGCAUCUGUGCUGUACACUGUGGUCACACCCAUGCUGAAUCCCUUUAUUUAUAGUCUGAGGAAUCGAGAUAUGAAAGGAGCACUGAAAAAUACACUCAGCAGGCGACUGUGUUCACACUGA
rnacentral:lncRNA from 1 species